ensembl:lncRNA
GCACUCGCAAGAGCUGCCAAAGAUAACAGUGAUGGAUGUACAUCGUCUGGCUCAGACAAGUAGCAAAGCACCGAACUCCAAGUUGGAAAAAGGAUUCAAACUUUGUCUCCAGUUACCUUUUCAACUAUGAAGGUUGUACUGAAGCCGGUAACAAUCACACAUCACUGUUCAUGUGUUGCUGGCACCUCAUUAUGCAACCACACAGUUGCGUUACUAUUCCAGUCUGCACACUAUUCCCGGAUGGGGACACCAGUCAUCCCACCUGUGCACGGAGGCCGAACAGCAGUGGCAUAAGCCAAGGACAAUGGGUCUGCAACCUGGGCCCAUAGGCAAAAUGACCAUCACCUACCCCACCAAAAAGCGCACGGCAGAAGGAGGGAUUAGAAGUACUCUACAGCGCCCUUCUUGGACCACUCCCCGACCUCUCAGUUCUCCAGAUAGAAGAGGCAUACAAAAACUUUGACCCUCUAUCCAAGCCAUUGAUCUGCAGCAUGGGGAUGUCUGCUGAAAAGCUUUUAGUCGGCUCCCACUUUGGAAAGGUACAGGUGGGGAGCCUCCUGUCUUACCAGCAGCCUCCAAUCACAACGUGACACAUAGUUCACCAUAAGGAGACACCACCAUUCCCUUCACUGCCCCUGGAUGGCUACAGACUAGAGAGCGACUGUCAAGGCUGCACAUGUGUGCUCAGUGAAGACGACCAGCUUCACAUAGUCUCUUCAGGAUGUUAGACAACGUGGAUGGUCACAGCAAAAGAAGGAAAGAUGCAAUGCAGUAGUAGCUCAUUGCUCCUUGGCCCAUGCCUUCACAAGAGGCCCACACUGGUAGUUUUGUG